rnacentral:rRNA from 1 species
CACGUAGGGGGGCAAGCGUUUGUCCGGAUUUAUUGGGCGUAAAGAGCGUGUAGGCGGCUUUACAGGUCCGUUGUGAAAACUCGAGGCUCAACCUCGAGACGCCGGUGGAAACCGUAAGGCUAGAGUCCGGAAGAGGCGAGUGGAAUUCCUGGUGUAGCGGUGGAAUGCGCAGAUAUCAGGAGGAACACCGAUGGCGAAGGCAGCUCGCUGGGACGGUACUGACGCUGAGGCGCGAAAGCGUGGGGAGCGAACAGG